UUUCUUUUUAUUUACAAAAAAUGCUGAUAAAGCUUAAAAGUUUACAUGUAAAAUAAUAUACAACAUGAAGAAAAGCAGCAGAAUUGAAUUCAUAUUUUACAAGUUCUUCACCAGCAAAACAUGCAACACACAGCAGUUUUGGCAAGUGAACCAACAGAAUGACUGAAAAUCAAAAUAAUGGAGUAGAUUCAUGGUCUGGUCAAAGUCCAGGCCGCAGAAUCUCUAUUGAGCCAAACGUUAAUGAAUGAUCACACAUGUUCAUAGACAACAGAAACAAGAAAAAACCACCACUUUUUUAGGAACACUUCACAACAUCAUGCGGAAAAUAAACUUUUCAAAAGAAAUAUUAGUUUUAAUUCUGCUGUGAUGACAACCGAAGCCUGCCGCUGGACCAGCAGCCAAUCAGAUUCAGCCAUGUUUGGUUGCUAGACAACGGGUGUGCAGAUAGGAGCUGUGUUUGGAUUAUGCUGCUGUGUCUCGCGGACGAUUCUUAGAUGAGCUUGUUUUCAAGCCUAUUUUAAAAUCAGCCCACAUCGUGAAUAAAACUCUGCGGUAAGUGUUUUAAAAUCUUGUUAUUUAGUUGUGUAUAAAGAAAAGGAUUUGAAAAUAUUUAUGUUUUAGCCGCUAAACUUGUUCCGGGUCAUUCAUCAGUUUGAGGAGGUCUGAGGUCGGAUUUGAAUUUAGGAAAUAAAAGUUGAAACCUAGAUGUGAAUUCUCCAGAUUUUUUUUAAAGUACUGCUUUUAUCCCACUUUUAAACGCUUGUAAAGAAAGAGAAAGAAAUGCUAAAAGUUAGCUGUUGUCUUAUAACUAUUAAAAAAGGCUUUGACUAACUGCUGUUACGAAAAUAAUCCAUUAUAUUCCCAUCAUUUUUAAAAGUGCGCUUGUUUUCAAAAUAUAUUUUUGUUUUCUUUCUUGAUGUAAAAUGAAAGUCUAAAUAAAAAUAAAUAAUAAUAAUAAUUAUUAUUAUAGAAUUUCAUAUUAUUGCGUUUAUCUCAGUUCCUGUCUUAAUUUGCUAUUUACAGUACCCUCUGGUGUGAUUAAAAAAUACUAACUGUAUACAAUUAUUUUGGCUGUCUAAAUAAUAACAAACUUGAUUGAAAGAAUUAAUGUACUAAUUCAAAUUAAAACUGACAUUAAAAACCACAUUAGACCAGACUGAUUGUUUUAAAUUAGUAUAGGAGUUAAAGGUUCAGACUAAGCCAGAUCCUGGCUUGUUAAAGCCUUUGAUCUGGGGAAGACCUGCCAUCUGUUUUACCAGCCUGCAUGGAAGCAUCACUGAGAGCUAUUUAAACCUCUUCCGAAUUGCACGUUAUCCUUUUGAAACUUUUAAUUU
rnacentral:lncRNA from 1 species